GUGGAUCAAAAGGUAAAGAAAUUCAUCCCUUUUUUUCUUCCUCACUGGUUGAGCUGGGACAUUUCAUCUCAUCUUCUCCUGCACUCAAACUAGGAUUUACACCAUAGGCUCUCCGGUUCUCAGGUCUUUAGAUGUAGAUUGAAUUAUACCACUGGCCUUCUUGGUUUUCCAGAUUGCAGACAGCCGACUGUGGGUCUUUUCUGCCUCUAUCUAUCAUUGGGUGAACCAAUUCCCAAUAAUAAAUCUUCUCCUCUAGAGAACACUGACUAAUACAUGAAACUUCAAAAUGGUUCUCAAAGAUCCGCAGAGUUACAUGGAACAUGCUUUGAGAACUUCUGUUCUAAAUGAUUCCAC